CCUACGGGAGGCAGCAGUGGGGAAUUUUGGACAAUGGGGGCAACCCUGAUCCAGCCAUGCCGCGUGAGUGAAGAAGGCCUUCGGGUUGUAAAGCUCUUUCGGCCGGGAAGAAAUCGCUCAAAGCUAAUACCUUGGGUGGAUGACGGUACCGGAAGAAGAAGCACCGGCUAACUACGUGCC
rnacentral:rRNA from 1 species